rnacentral:snRNA from 16 species
AUACUUACCUGGACGGGGUCGACGACUGAUCAAGAAGAGUAGUGGCCUAGGCUAGUGGUCUACAUUGCACUAGGUCGAUGCGCUGGCUUACCAUCUCCCCAAGCGGGAGAGUGGACGUCGUAAUUUGUGAUAUAGGGGGUACGCGUUUGCGCGGCCCCUAC